ACGAGCCACAUGCAGGGAAACUUGCACGUGUGGUUCUGGCCGGGCUUUCCUUCGGUAUCUAAUAACCUUGCUUCUGCUCGCCGCUGGCGCACCGGGGU
rfam:Triticum aestivum genome assembly, contig: Triticum_aestivum_CS42_TGACv1_scaffold_159053_2DL